rnacentral:lncRNA from 1 species
AUCCUGGAGUAGUCGGAGUGUGCGUAAGAGGGGGAUGACGUGUUUAGUGGUGUUUUGAUUACCGUCGUGGCAGGGGGCAAUGAUAUCUAAUACAUUCCCUUUAUGAUGAAGCGUCGAAAUGGGAGCGUUUCGCGGUGCAUUGUCGUCCCGUGUAUGCAUCCCUAACAAGGGUUCAGGCGAGUUGAUGAAGCAGCCGUAGUGCUUCCUUUUAGGAGUUGCAGCGGUGGGGUGAGGAUCAGGGCUGCGUUUGCGCAUGGACUGCUGUAUGGCAUUUGCUGUUUCUCAUGCAUCAGUUUUUGCUUGUGAUGGAGGUAGUGCUAUGUACAUGAUGGUUUCACCACUCCUCGUACGUCUGUGAAGGUUUGAAGGUAUAAUGUGGUGGUAAGCUAAAUCGCCGAGUACGGCAUGCUGCGUUGAAUCACCUUAUUCUAUUUCAUCGUUGGGAUUUGCCCGGCCNNNNNNNNNNNNNNNNNNNNNNNNNNNNNNNNNNNNNNNNNNNNNNNNNNAUCUUCUCACUCCAACCCUGUUCAUGUGGGUUGGACACAAGCUGCACAAGGAGCUCUCCGUCCUUGGUCAGGCCGUUAUAUCCCACCUUGACCAGACCGUUGAUGAACAGCGGCCGGAUGGGUCUCCCCAUACAGUACUCAUCCUCGGCAAGGUCCAGCCACUUCUUCAGCUCAGCUAUCUGCCUGCCCUUGGGGUCCAGGAAGAACAUGCUGUUCACGCCAGCACUUGUGGCAGCUGCAGCACUGACAGUGUCCAUGGGCUCAAAGAAGAACAGGUCCUGGUUCUGCGAGUCUUGCCGGAGCUGCAGCUUGCAAGCUGGCAGGCCUGCAGAAGGAUAGCCCAUCAUGCCCACAAGGCGCAUACACAUUAAACAACCAGCCGCUGUCACCCAGUUGCAAUGCAUGCAGGAUCACAACGAAGGGGUGCAGAGCAGCAAAGUGACGAAGCAACUUCAAGCUGAAUCAAGCCAGAAGUCACACCCCUCAGUAGCAAGAGGGUGUAUGUCAUGCAGAACACUGAACCGCCCCUUUAUGGUAGAGAAAGAGUGUGCUGUCACACAGGGCUGCACAAUCGCAGGCCCAACAGGCUGGAACGUGUAACUGCCGAGAGUGCUUCCAGGCGUGGGGGCACGUCCAAAAUUGGUUGUAGCAGCUGUUGGAAAUAUGCCUCUGACAUGUCCUCCCCUGCAUGUAUUUGAGAUCAGAAUUAGCUCGGCAAAAUGCACACAUAGAUGGAAUACAGAGGAAACAUAUGCUUCUUCACAACAGCACAGAGAGUGGACGGCCAUGUCCGUGCCCCCCGUCGCUAGCACCCCGUGAUCCAGCCAACUUGGCAGCUGGACUUGCUAGUCAGUACGGCCAGUCGCCCAGUUGAAAUGCAUGCAGGAUCUUAUUAACGCAACCAACGCGGGAACGAACGGGUACAGAGCAGCAGCAGAAAGGGACGGACGGAACAACUUCCAGCUGACUUGCAGUACAGCAUAGGCGCCGGGGCCCAGGCCCGCGCUGCAGCCCAUGCACCCACCGUGCCAUGCCCGGGCGAGCGCCCCGCCCACCCACCCCAACCUGCCUACAGCUGGCGCGCUCUAUGCGAGCUCCCCUGGGGCGGGUGUUGGGCGGGUGCUGGGGCCAGGCCCGCCACCCGCCAGCCGCCCCUUGCCGCCUCUUACAGCUCCCAGCACGCACCCAACACGAGUGGGCGCAACCAGCUCACCCCACAGCCCCAAGCAACGACCCACCCGCCCCACCGCGCGACGGCCUCGCUGCUGCCCUUCCGAUAUAGAGGCCAGCACCCCCAGCAACGGCCUCUGCACCCCCGGCAAAGGCCCGCUUCUUUCCUUGCUUCCGUAGCGGGGGGCAGACGAGCCUCGAAUUGGCCUCACCCGUCUUAAUGCCAUAAGCGUUCAGCCAAACCCCAAUCGUUCCCCCUGAGGAUCGGUUCCCUUCCCACGAGCGCCAGGCCUAGUGGCCCUGCAAUGCAGAUGGGGUCUCACCGUCAGCUGCCGUGCUCCCGGGGCCCGGCCCUGCCGCCGCGCCUGCAUGACGAGAACGUCACAUGUAUGCAGGUCAGGAUUAUUGCACAUCAAGCUGUAUCCUGAAGAGACAGAGGCGGUGGUUGCGCAAUCGGGGAUUCAAUCGCAACAUGCCGGAAUGCUUCACAUGGGGCUGGUGCGCUCCGAACUCAGAACUACAAAUGUGCGGUUGCUCACCCUACAGCCUCUUGAAAUGAUCACCAGCAGCAGCGCUGUUCACGAUAGCUCAAACACUUCCGUACUACACCGCCGCGGGACCCCAGAGCCGGAGUCUUAGCUCAGGUCAAGCCUGGGCUAGCACAACCAACUCACCGGCUCCAGCCGCGCUCCCCGCACCGAGGCCAGCCGCCGAGGCUGCAGGACAUGGGAGCGGUCGGGGGACCCAUGUAGAUUACGAGUUGUUUCAAGCUUCAGGCACGAGAACCCUCCCACUCAGCCAGCGACGCAGAGCCUCCCGACACACCAAUCAAGCCUUCUCAGCUCCCAGUGCAUGACCUACUUUUACGGAUAAGCACAUCCACGAGCUUCAGCUGUUUGGCCGCUGUGCUACCGCGAAUUAGCACACGUUCCAGAUUCGUGGCCUUGCUCAAUGCUUCUGCAGCGGCCAGCUGCCACACCUCGUCCUUAUUAAAUGCUUCUGAAAGAUGGACAAUCAGCUGGGCCUCCUGGGCCUCCUGGUCCAUGGCUUGCGCUUGUGGCGCGCUAGCGACAGGGAACGAGCCGAAACGGAAACCUGCGUAAACGGAAACCUGCGUAAAUAGGUUUCGUCACGCUUUCCGCAGCGAAGCCCAGAUUGGCGGAAAUGCGGAAAGAGAAUCCGCAUUUCCGCAUUUGCUGUACGGCGGAAAUUCAAAAGCAGAUUCUAGGCAUGCGUUUGCCAUUUACAGACUGCGUUUUACACUAAGGAGUUGUUAGAUUAAGUCAAAUGUCAACAACCACUGGCUCCGACCUGGGGGGUGCCGAAGUCAUAGAGAUUGACUGUGUUUCUGCUCAGAAGAAGGGUGGAAGGCCCGUUGACGACGUUUGGAAACAUUUUGAUAGAGGUCCUUACGACAAGAGUAAGAAUUGUUAUGCCACCUGCAAGCGCUGCCGUCGCCACUGGAAACGGGCGCGCCUUCCUGAAAUCCGGUUACACCUUGCCAAGGAGUGCACUGCCAUUGCGCCUGAAUUUAUUUUGAAUUCAUAUUGUUUGGGCGGGUUUGGAUUCAUGUACAUUCAGCAUACACUUAAGACUUGCAGACAUGCCGGACGGGUAUGUGGAGUAGGCAUGCAGACAUGUCGCUGCUCCGCAACGGACAGGGAGACGAUUAUUAUUCAGUGUUUCAGGGCUCCCCGGGCUCUUACCCCAUGUAACAUACGAGUGGCAAUUUCUGAGCAUCCCAGAGCAAUCCGUCAGCCAACAACACUAUGGGGGUGAUAUACGAUAGGGCUGCUCAGGCCUGGGGUCUCAGGGUUCAAAGAGAGGCGGGCUGCUUGAAGGGGGCAGGGUGAACACCGUCAAGGGUGUGGGCACACAAUAGUUGAUCGCUGGGCCCCCGCCACCCCCAGUAAUACGUUUAGAUGGCUCUACCUUACCCCAUGUAACAUACGAGUGGCAAAAUCUGAGCAUCCCAGAGCAAUCCGUCAGCCAACAACACUAUGGGGGUGGUAUACGAUAGGGCUGCUCAGGCCUGGGGUCUCAGGGUUCAAAGAGAGGCGGGCUGCUUGAAGGGGGCAGAGUGAACACCGUCAAGGGUGUGGGCACACAAUAGUUGAUCGCUGGGCCCCCGCCACUCCAGUAAUACGUUUAGAUGGCUCUACCUUCGAGCACGAUUGGAAUCCACCAGAUUCUAGAUCCCACCGGACAGAACCGCACUGCCACAAGAUGGUUUCAGACUGUCCAAGUUAUCGCCACACUGAGAAGAGCCAGAAAACAUCGUUACAUAUUCAUUUUAUAGUUUUCGCAGGUUUCCGCAGUUUCCGCAGCCUUUCCGCAAAGCGCCUCCCGAUUACGAAAAGUUUACGCAGACCUGGUCAAGUUUCGGCUCGUUCCCUGGCUAGCGACACGGUAAAGUACCGUACUGAUACGAAAGGUUCGCUCCACACCUUUCGUUUUGGGCCACGAAGUGUGUCACAGUGGAAAAAGCUCUAUGGAGAAAAUUAUUUACUUGUCGCGAAAAUGUGUGGCACGAAUGUGUUGUACGCCGUGUACAUGGUGUAGAACAGCCAGAACUGAGUUCUUACACGCCAGAACUGAAUUUUUCAUAUAGUUAUAGCUUCCUUUUAUUGUAACUGUUGUUUGCUGGACAUCCUGGCACGCUACGUGACAAUGCGUUGACCAUGAAGCCCAGACGACCCAAGCAAACCAAGCAAACCAAGCUCACAGCCAUGAAGCUCGCUCCUUCGCUCCUUCUGUGGUUAAUGUAUAAUCUGCCUGAAGUUGAUACGGUUGAGGGAUGCUGGGCGGAUAUUGCUGGCCUGAGUAUCACUGGCGGAGCCCUGUGAGGUUCACACUCGCACAUGUAGGAGCCCAAGUGCUGUGGCGCAAACCCCUGGCUUGGUGUUUAUUAUGGCCAAGGAAGGAGCAGCAUGUAGGCCCGACCUAGUGCUUAUGUGCUGAGCCAAGGCUGGAUGUGGACGUGUUGGGCGAUUGGCAGAAUCCUGGAGUAGUCGGAGUGUGCGUAAGAGGGGGAUGACGNNNNNNNNNNNNNNNNNNNNNNNNNNNNNNNNNNNNNNNNNNNNNNNNNNUGUUUUGAUUCCGUCGUGGCAGGGGGCAAUGAUAUCUAAUCCAUUCCCUUUAUGAUGAAGCGUCGAAAUGGGAGCGUUUCGCGGUGCAUUGUCGUCCCGUGUAUGCAUCCCUAACAAGGGUUCAGGCGAGUUGAUGAAGCAGCCGUAGUGCUUCCUUUUAGAAGUUGCAGCGGUGGGGUGAGGAUCAGGGCUGCGUUUGCGCAUGGACUGCUGUAUGGCAUUUGCUGUUUCUCAUGCAUCAGUUUUUGCUUGUGAUGGAGGUAGUGCUAUGUACACGAUGGUUACACCACUCCUCGUACGUCUGUGAAGGUUUGAAGGUAUAAUGUGGUGGUAAGCUAAAUCGCCGAGUACGGCAUGCUGCGUUGAAUCACCUUAUUCUAUUUCAUCGUUGGGAUUUGCCCGGCCGCCCAACCCUUUCAUUUGCUGCGGAUGCCUGGAUGUGCGCGUGCACCGCGGGGCUAUUCACUGAUUGCGGUUGACCAGAAAUAGUUGGUGAGUGGAGUGUAGUCAGCUACUUCGAAGCCGAAAAGGGCCCUCGGCCCGGGUGUAGCAAGGAGUUGCCCCGCAGUAUUCCGCAGGGGACGCUGUACGGCACUGGGCUGCAAGUGGCUAGACCCACCACUACGGGGUGCUAUAUCACGACUUCAGAAAAGUACCGAUCGGCAGCUGCAGAUGUCAGAUCCCGUGAUAGUGCGCUCUCCAGGAUUCUAAACUAGGGCCGUCUGGUUUGUGGUGGUGUAAAACACCCGGCCCCUUGCCAGCCCUUGCCCCCAAAAGACGAUCACGAUGACGCAUGAUGAUGAUGAUGAUGAUGAUAACGAUGAUAACGAUAAGGAUCAGAAGGACGCUUGCAAGGAAGACGGGACAUGUAGGAACUGGAAAACUUGCACAUAUCAGUCGUGCGGGCUCAGCAAUGCAGGGGUGAUUACGACACUAGAUAUGAUAAAUAUGAUAUGACACGAUAUCUUGUGUAGCAGCGCAAAACCUCGGCAAAAAGCAGCAGCAGCAGCAGCCGCAUGUGGCCCUCCUCCAUCCGCCCGUAUACAGAAGCCGGUGGUGGGAGGUAUGUGUGUAUGAGGUAGCAGCACUGUGGCUACUAUUACCGACCGCGCCACACAGUGAGGACUCCCCAUCGCCCAUCCCUCUCUCCUCGCUCCACGCACCC